GGAGGAAUCAAAGAAUUGAACCACCGACAGGGAGUAUCAGGAAAACCUGUCAAAUCGCCCUACGGUGCUUUAUCCUAAGGGAUAAGGUGUUGAGCGGAAUAGGGGAAAGGUUCUGCAUGACAGGAUCAGA
rfam:Bacteroidetes bacterium GWF2_35_48 gwf2_scaffold_948, whole genome shotgun sequence.